rnacentral:rRNA from 1 species
UACGUAGGAGGCAAGCGUUGUCCGGAAUUACUGGGCGUAAAGCGCGUGUAGGUGGUGGGACAAGUCUGCUGUGAAAGCGCCUGGCUUAACCGGGCGAGGUCGGCGGAAACUGUUCGACUCGAGGACGGUAGAGGGGGGUGGAAUUCCCGGUGUAGUGGUGAAAUGCGUAGAGAUCGGGAGGAAUACCCGUGGCGAAGGCGGUCCACUGGGCAUCAACUGACGCUGAGGCGCGAAAGCGUGGGUAGCAAACAGGA